rnacentral:piRNA from 1 species
GUGCAGAACUUUGGAAGUUUGUGCCGAU